GCUUACGGCCAUACCACCUUAGGCACGCCCGAUCUCGUCUGAUCUCGGAAGUUAAGCAGGGUCGGGGCUGGUUAGUACUUAGAUGGGUGACCGCCUGGGAAUACCAGGUGCUGUAAGCA
rnacentral:rRNA from 1 species